GUCCACGCCGUAAACGAUGGAUACUUGUUGUUGGAGGUAUUGACCCCUUCAGUGACGGAGCUAACGCGUUAAGUAUCCCGCCUGGGAAGUACGGUCGCAAGAUUAAAACUCAAAGAAAUUGACGGGGGCCCGCACAAGCGGUGGAGCAUGUGGUUCAAUUCGAUGCAACGCGAAGAACCUUACCUAGACUUGACAUGUAUUGGAAGGCUACCAGAGAUGGUGCCGCCCGCAAGGGUCGAUACACAGGUGCUGCAUGGCUGUCGU
rnacentral:rRNA from 1 species